CGAGGACGAAGGGAGUCGAUACUCCAG
rnacentral:piRNA from 1 species